AGGUAUGUCACUGCAGCCCAUCACCUGCUGUCGGUCAUGCCCUCACCGACACGACUACCAAGGAGGCUCAGUUGGUGAUGUCAUGGCCAAGCAGAGGACGAGGCUGCAACUUUCUGCAGUGUUUGCUGCUGGACGUGAGACAGGACACGACACGGUUGAGUGUGGUUAGCGGUAGAUUGAUAUCUCACAAGUAGCACACUUCUCGACGGAUAAAAGUAA